ensembl:lncRNA
CUGAAAACACCUCACCAGGACAUGCAAGGGUUACAGUGUGAGUUGUCUCUUGUCAUGCCCUCUCAGUGUCUUUCAUUGUGACACUUUUUACAUAAAAAUGCCAAAGAUAAAUUACUUUUUUGUAGUUAUUACUUUUAAAGUGAGUAUGCUGCUAGGAUGCUAGCGCCUAACCACAAGGCCCAAUCUUGCAUUGACAAAUAGUAUUUUGGUGUGAUUCAUCCUAUAGUGCAACACUAGAUCAUGUGGUGUGACAUUCAGAAUUGUGACCAAAAAAAGCCUUUGUUAGUGAUAAAUCAUAAACAUGUCAAUUUAACACAUGUAGCAUAGUAUCAACAAGUGAUACAAGCAUUUUGUUUGAUUUAUAACAGGUGUGCUGUCUUUAAAGUUAAGUGAAUGGGUUAAAUAAGUUAUUCGUUGGAAAAGUAAAAAAGUGAGCUUAAAAAGUUAAAAUAUCAAAUUCAUUAAGUUACAUUUCAGAAGUUCAUGCUGUGUGCUGCCCUCUACUGGUCAGAGUUAAUAAUUCAGGGAAGCACUCUCUUCGGUAGAACUCUGACAGGCAAGAAAGUCAGUGCUGGGUUAAUGUUGCUGAAUUUAUUUCUGAUACGCUUCUGCCUUGGAGUCUAUGUGCCUUUUUACAAAACAAAACAACAAGAGGAAACAUCUUCAGUAAAAUAUAAGAAAAGCCAAGCCUUGUGUGUUUAUUGGAGGACUUUUGAAUGUUCACUGGCUGUCUAGCUUUGCACAAGAGAUCGCAUUGCCAGGGCAGCACAACAGGGUUUGUCGGAAUUAAUCUAAAAUAUAUUGAAAGAUUUAGAACAGAUUACUGACUUUGCGUGAUGAUUAAGAAAAGUUAAAUAAAAUGUGAUUUUUAUUUAAUUUUAAUUAAAAACAAAAUAUCCUUGUGAAACUAAACGUUACAAAGUUGCUUUUGUGUUGAUAGCUUUCAUUGUUCAGUCUUUAGAGUGUGCUGCUAAAAAUAAAUUGGAAAAUAAUAAUAAGAGAGUAAUAUAAACAUGUGCUGUAACUUUGACAAGCACACAUAAUGAAGGCAAUUGUGAAUGUGAUUCUACUUGUGACUCUAACAGCAGCUGGCAGAUUCCAUGGGUGGAGCAGUUGUGUCCCACACAGUGGAAUUAGAAACAAUGAACACAGUUGUCAGAGAAUGAGGAUGUUAAGUCACACGAAGUAAGGAUCUAAAGUCCACAUAAUUGCAAGAAGGCUUGGAGUAUUUAGUUUAAAUCGGUUACAACAAACCCCUGAAACUCAUUGAGAAUGCUGUGGUGCGUCUGGGGUUAAACCUUGCCAAGAUAUUCCAUGUCACCCCGUUUCUUUGCACCCUACACUGGCUUAUGGAAAAACAAGAGGAGCUUCUCCCCACCUUUGGGCAAUGCUCAAAACCUACAUCCCUACCCAGGCUCUCUGUUCAGCCAUCUCUGAGUUUGUGAAUGUCUCAACCCAGUUCCCAAUCCACGCAGUCAAAACUCUUCACUUUCCUGGCACUUGAAUGGUGGAACCAGCUUCCCUUGGAGGCUAGGACAGCUGAGUCUUUACCUUUCUUCAAAACAUCUGAAAAAUCAUCUUUUCAAAGAGAACUUAAAAUAGUUCCACUUGUAUGGUCCUCUGUCCAGCACUGACCUUUGCCAAUAAUUAAUUCAUUGAUUAAAAU